rnacentral:rRNA from 3 species
GGUUAAGCGACUAAGCGUACACGGUGGAUGCCCUGGCAGUCAGAGGCGAUGAAGGGCGUGCUAAUCUGCGAUAAGCGCCGGUAAGGUGAUAUGAACCGUUAUAACCGGCGAUACCCGAAUGGGGAAACCCAGUGUGAUUCGUCACACUAUCAUUAACUGAAUCCAUAGGUUAAUGAGGCGAACCGGGGGAACUGAAACAUCUAAGUACCCCGAGGAAAAGAAAUCAACCGAGAUUCCCCCAGUAGCGGCGAGCGAACGGGGAGGAGCCCAGAGCCUGAAUCAGCAUGUGUGUUAGUGGAAGCGUCUGGAAAGGCGCGCGAUACAGGGUGACAGCCCCGUACACAAAAGCGCAUGUGCUGUGAGCUCGAUGAGUAGGGCGGGACACGUGGUAUCCUGUCUGAAUAUGGGGGGACCAUCCUCCAAGGCUAAAUACUCCUGACUGACCGAUAGUGAACCAGUACCGUGAGGGAAAGGCGAAAAGAACCCCGGCGAGGGGAGUGAAAAAGAACCUGAAACCGUGUACGUACAAGCAGUGGGAGCCCCACCACUAAGCCAGUGGUGAACUCCACAUCCGCAUCCUUUGCUGAGGAUACGGUUAACGGAGCGAAAGCGACGUUCAACCGCAAAACAAGCAGAGGGGGCUUAGUGGUGGGGUGACUGCGUACCUUUUGUAUAAUGGGUCAGCGACUUAUAUUCUGUAGCAAGGUUAACCGAAUAGGGGAGCCGGAGGGAAACCGAGUCUUAAUUGGGCGUUAAGUUGCAGGGUAUAGACCCGAAACCCGGUGAUCUAGCCAUGGGCAGGUUGAAGGUUGGGUAACACUAACUGGAGGACCGAACCGACUAAUGUUGAAAAAUUAGCGGAUGACCUGUGGCUGGGGGUGAAAGGCCAAUCAAACCGGGAGAUAGCUGGUUCUCCCCGAAAGCUAUUUAGGUAGCGCCUCGUGAAUUCAUCUCCGGGGGUAGAGCACUGUUUCGGCUAGGGGGCCAUCCCGGCUUACCAACCCGAUGCAAACUGCGAAUACCGGAGAAUGUUAUCACGGGAGACACACGGCGGGUGCUAACGUCCGUCGUGAAGAGGGAAACAACCCAGACCGCCAGCUAAGGUCCCAAAGUCAUGGUUAAGUGGGAAACGAUGUGGGAAGGCCCAGACAGCCAGGAUGUUGGCUUAGAAGCAGCCAUCAUUUAAAGAAAGCGUAAUAGCUCACUGGUCGAGUCGGCCUGCGCGGAAGAUGUAACGGGGCUAAACCAUGCACCGAAGCUGCGGCAGCGAACGUAUCACCCAAGACAACUUUACGGAGUUGACGAUUGACGGAGCGAAGCGACGUCAAAGCGUUCAUUAAAGUCGAGUUGGCUUAGGGAUACGUUCGUUGGGUAGGGGAGCGUUCUGUAAGCCUGUGAAGGUGUGUCGUGAGGCAUGCUGGAGGUAUCAGAAGUGCGAAUGCUGACAUAAGUAACGAUAAAGCGGGUGAAAAGCCCGCUCGCCGGAAGACCAAGGGUUCCUGUCCAACGUUAAUCGGGGCAGGGUGAGUCGACCCCUAAGGCGAGGCCGAAAGGCGUAGUCGAUGGGAAACGGGUUAAUAUUCCCGUACUUGGUGUUACUGCGAAGGGGGGACGGAGAAGGCUAUGUUGGCCGGGCGACGGUUGUCCCGGUUUAAGCGUGUAGGUGUGUGUUCCAGGUAAAUCCGGUUCACUUUAACACUGAGGCGUGACGACGAGGCACUACGGUGCUGAAGCAACAAAUGCCCUGCUUCCAGGAAAAGCCUCUAAGCAUCAGGUAACAUCAAAUCGUACCCCAAACCGACACAGGUGGUCAGGUAGAGAAUACCAAGGCGCUUGAGAGAACUCGGGUGAAGGAACUAGGCAAAAUGGUGCCGUAACUUCGGGAGAAGGCACGCUGACACGUAGGUGAAGUGAUUUACUCAUGGAGCUGAAGUCAGUCGAAGAUACCAGCUGGCUGCAACUGUUUAUUAAAAACACAGCACUGUGCAAACACGAAAGUGGACGUAUACGGUGUGACGCCUGCCCGGUGCCGGAAGGUUAAUUGAUGGGGUCAGCGCAAGCGAAGCUCCUGAUCGAAGCCCCGGUAAACGGCGGCCGUAACUAUAACGGUCCUAAGGUAGCGAAAUUCCUUGUCGGGUAAGUUCCGACCUGCACGAAUGGCGUAAUGAUGGCCAGGCUGUCUCCACCCGAGACUCAGUGAAAUUGAACUCGCUGUGAAGAUGCAGUGUACCCGCGGCAAGACGGAAAGACCCCGUGAACCUUUACUAUAGCUUGACACUGAACAUUGAGCCUUGAUGUGUAGGAUAGGUGGGAGGCUUUGAAGUGUGGACGCCAGUCUGCAUGGAGCCGACCUUGAAAUACCACCCUUUAAUGUUUGAUGUUCUAACGUGGACCCGUAAUCCGGGUUGCGGACAGUGUCUGGUGGGUAGUUUGACUGGGGCGGUCUCCUCCUAAAGAGUAACGGAGGAGCACGAAGGUUGGCUAAUCCUGGUCGGACAUCAGGAGGUUAGUGCAAUGGCAUAAGCCAGCUUGACUGCGAGCGUGACGGCGCGAGCAGGUGCGAAAGCAGGUCAUAGUGAUCCGGUGGUUCUGAAUGGAAGGGCCAUCGCUCAACGGAUAAAAGGUACUCCGGGGAUAACAGGCUGAUACCGCCCAAGAGUUCAUAUCGACGGCGGUGUUUGGCACCUCGAUGUCGGCUCAUCACAUCCUGGGGCUGAAGUAGGUCCCAAGGGUAUGGCUGUUCGCCAUUUAAAGUGGUACGCGAGCUGGGUUUAGAACGUCGUGAGACAGUUCGGUCCCUAUCUGCCGUGGGCGCUGGAGAACUGAGGGGGGCUGCUCCUAGUACGAGAGGACCGGAGUGGACGCAUCACUGGUGUUCGGGUUGUCAUGCCAAUGGCACUGCCCGGUAGCUAAAUGCGGAAGAGAUAAGUGCUGAAAGCAUCUAAGCACGAAACUUGCCCCGAGAUGAGUUCUCCCUGAGACUUAGAGUCUCCUGAAGGAACGUUGAAGACGACGACGUUGAUAGGCCGGGUGUGUAAGCGCAGCGAUGCGUUGAGCUAACCGGUACUAAUGAACCGUGAGGCUUAACCUU